UACAGAGGGUGCGAGCGUUUGUUCGGAAUUAUUGGGCGUAAAGGGCGCGUAGGCGGUGCGGUAAGUCACCUGUGAAAUCUCCUGGCUCAACUGGGAGCUUGCAGGCGAAACUGCCGUGCUGGAGUGUGGGAGAGGUGAGUGGAAUUCCCGGUGUAGCGGUGAAAUGCGUAGAUAUCGGGGAGGAACACCUGUGGCGAAAGCGGCUCACUGGACCACAACUGACGCUGAGGCGCGAAAGCUAGGGGAGCAAACAGG
rnacentral:rRNA from 1 species